UAAUUCAUUUUCACUUCUCAUUUCAGCUUUGGGCAAUACAGACACUUACUGUGCUAACAAGAAAACCAUCCCCAUGCCUUUAUGGUGAGAAAUUGUUCAUAAAGUGUAUGCAUCACAUAAUCUCAAAGGUUUUUUGUCAUUUUGUGUAAAAACGUGUGUGUGUGUAUGCAUGAGAUCCCAGAUAAUGAUAAUAUAAUAUACCGACAUCCUACCAUCAGACCGCUGUGUGCUUUAAUAAAUCAUGCAUUUGCAACUAACUUCAGAGCUAAAGUAGAGUUGUGUUAUAAUAUAGAAUAACAGCAGUGUUUUCACAUGAAAUUGGUCAAAACACGACAAACUUUUGCUCUGAUCAUGUUGCGCCUUCAGCAAGUAAAAUAGGAAAAGAAACUUUACCACAAUUUCCUGUGCCAAACCUCUGUCUCAAAGUGUUCCUUAUUCUCAAGAACAUUCCGUGUUCCUUACUUCUGUCUGAACAGACAAUCAAAUUAUAGAAAUUACAGAAAAUGAUUGCAAGUAGAGGUUUUACAAUUGUUUUGAUAUUGUCUACAACAAGUAAGUACUGAUUUAAUGAUCUAUAAACACUAUCUUAAAUUAUACUAUCAACAUGCCCUACUGUCACAAAUAUCACAUAGAACAUCUGUAGUACCAGUUUAGUCUUUGUAGCUUCAAAAGUAAAUGUACACAAUAAGAUGCAUUUACAAUAAAAUAUACUUGCAUGUAUGCUCACUCUCUCUCUCUUAUAUAUAUUAGGGCUGUCAAUCGAUUAAAAAAAAUUAAUUAAUCGCACAUUUUGAAAUUAAUUAAUGUUGUUUAACACUGUUGUUUAAUUGUUGUUUAAUUGUAUUUUUUUUUAAAACACAAUGGUGCCCCUCGACGGUAAAUCGAUCAUCUAACCUGGGACUGCUUUCUGUCGGGUGCUUUGCAUUAAGGUGAUAACUUAAAGGCGAGCUGCUUCUGUGAUAGCUUAAUUCAGCUUGACAAAUGCUAUACAACUUUUGUUGAUUGUUCCGUCAUUUUGGCUCUUAAACAGAGACUUUCCGCCCAACAAUCCCUCAGCUCUCUCUAUCUUCAACUACCGCAGUGGUUCUCAAACUUUUUCUGUCAUUCCCCACUUUGAUUAAGGGGGGCUUUUCAAGCUCCACCUGUCCCUCAUCGCUCCCAUAAAAUGGUAGGCCAAGCUUCAAAGAAAAGAGAGGAACAGAUCAUAAACAUAACAAAAUACACAGAUACAGCGAAAGAUCAAAACCAAGUUAGGAAGAACCUCUUCUUUCCAUUUCAGCUUCUACUCCAACCUCAAAUGAAGACCUCUCGGUGGAGUAUGCAGCUUCUAUUUGUCAGGCUUUUCUCGGGGAUUGCACCCGAGAUGCUGGAUGUGGGGAACCAGCGCUUAGCCCAGUGUGCUAAUGAGAGGACCCAAUGGCAGGAUGAUGUUCUCAAUGGUUCUUUUAUUGAGAAACAAGGAUGCUUCAACAGCGAGAAACAAACACACAGAAGAUAAUCCAAACUCAGGAGAUAAUCCAAAAGCACAGAGGAUAUGAACAGGGCAAAAGGCCAUAAACUAAACAAGAUACAAAAUGUAGCUUUCACAAUAGCUACCUGAUGAAGGCUUUAAGAAGCCGAAAGCGGUUAGGGACCGCAACGAGAGACAGAAGCGGUGUGAGAACCGCAACAAGACACCAACCGGAACUAGCUAAGACUAGCGGCACCUGAGUGCGUGCGAUGGCUGCGUGUCCUUGAGGAAAGACUUCUAACGACCCGAUCAGGGCCACAGAGAUUAGCCAGGUAUUUAUACCCUGGCUAAUAGAGGGAAGUGACAAUCACAAAAACGCAAGACAGGUGAGAGCACACAAUGGGGAACAGGUGAGAACACAAAUCACAAUGGGGAACAGGUGAGGGCACACAAAGACAACAAAGGCACAUGUGGACACAAAUUAGUUCAUGAUGUCCCUUGGCCACCAGAGGCCGCCAAUGUGCCAAAUGGUUGCCCGAAGUCGUGACACUACUCCAACCUCAUAUGAAGACUUAUCAGUGGAUGACUACUAUGAGUUUUUAAGGUCUGUUGUUGCAUAAUUUCAACUAAUAAGUUGAUAGUGAAUUAAGGGCCCUUUCUGAGUUUUUUCAUUAAACACUCGUUUUGCUGUUGUUUUAGUUUUUUAGAAUACAACCAUCUAUUUAAUGACUUGACAGAACCAAGUAAGUACCUGUAUCUGAUUCACAGCACAAAUUAGCAAUAUUCAAAUUGUAAGGCUCAAGGCCCGUUUGUUUUUUUUUGUUUCUGAAAUAUACUUAUAUUAGUGGAUCCAGUGGAGCAUUUACAUAUUUGAAUGACACUAUUGCAAAGAUCUUCCCUAAAUUCUAUGAGAUGUUUUUUUUUGCUUUUUAUUGUAUAUAUAUCGUUUAAACUGAAAAUGUCAUAGCACUUUCCUUGUGCAUUUCAGCCUUUUCAAAUCCCCAUGUCAGACUGGCCAGAUGGAUGGACAGUGAUGACAAUUUCAUCGUUGGAUGUGUCCAUGAGAGUCACCUAGAAGGCUGGAUCUUCUUGAGUGUAAUAGGAGGAACAAACGUCACUGUACUUGACCCAAAUGUCACCACAGCAGCGUGAUCCUUCUUUGAUAUUACUAUGACGCCACCUGUCUCUAUCACCUGUGUACUUGAACUGCAUGGGGAAAACCUAACUAGUGAAAAGUUCACACUCCCCCAUUAUGAUUCAUAGCCAGGAUUCCAUUUGCAGGAUUCAUGGGCCUUUUUCUCAUUGCCAUGACCUUGGUGGUGAUCGUGCUAACCUUGAGAGGAAAACAAGCAGGCCCAGACAAGACCACCUAUGAGGAAAGUAGCACCGUGUAAUCUUUUAUACGCAAAUGUUCUGUUCACGAUGUCCACAUAAAUGCUUACUCGUGCGUUUCUUCUAGUAUCUUCUAUUUCUUCUUCUUGAUACAACCAGUGUAUUGUUCAUGACCACAACAUACCUUAGUCUUUUGGAUUGUCUGCAUAUAGCAAAUGUAUUGCUUACAUGAUGGUUAAGAAUGCAUAUGGAUGUUCAGCUGAUGUGCCAACUACUGACUGGUGUAAUUUGAUCAAAAUGUAUUUGACCUCUUCCAUUUACAUGACAUUGUGCUAUUGUUGUCUGAUAAUUCUCUCUCAUUUGACAAUAAAAUACUUUUACCUUUGGUUUGAGUGCUUGAGACAAAAUAAUUCUAGUCUUCUUUCUUUAUCUUUAAUUCCAUCAUGCUGAAGCAGACAGUUAGCAAGACAUAUGUUCAGCUGUGUCACUAGCUGUUUAUACUAUUUCGUAGUCUUUGUUUUAAUUGGGAAUGUUAUUUGACAAUCUUAAUAAUAAAUUCUAGUCAUUCUAAUUUUUGGUGGUGGGGUUAAAAAAAGGAAGGGCUGUGGUUAUCAGUAGGGAAGAAAACUGUGACGUGAAACAAAGAAUGUAGAAACACAUCGUAGAAGAAAAGAGGGGAACAGAUAAUGAACAUAACAAAAUGCACAGUUACAUUGAAAGACCAAAACCAAGUUUGGAAGAACCUCUUCUUUCUAUUUCAGCUUUAACUCUAACAACUAUGAUCCUUGUGAACCUCCCAAAUCAUAGCCCUUCCCAUGAACGCUGGAAAUAUGUAAUGGCGGUAAGAACUCUUUCCACAUUGCUUUUUGAACAAAAACGGGAUGGACACAGUCAUUCAUUUUAACAUGUUGCAUGCGAAGAUAACUUUAGGAGUUACGGGAGUGCCUGAGCAGAGACUGUGCCAUAACUACUGCCUUUAUAUUUUCACUCAUCCAGCAGAAUCUGAGCCUGAAGGCGUCAAAAUUUGGUAUUUAUAUUACAAUUCCAUGCAAACUAUUUACAACUAUGCACUACACUAGAAAAAAAGAAUAGGUUGGAAAAAAUCUUAAACCUAUGUAGUUUAUGUAAUUGAAACCUACCUUUGGAAAAUAGCUUGCAGCUGGAAGGUUCAGAAUACUGGUGUGAAGUGGUGAAGAAUGUUAAGACCAGAGCCCAGCGAAAAGCCUUAGGAAAAAUGUAAACAAUCAAACUGACGCGCUGUUUAUGAAACGUAUCCUGUUGUUGCGUGUUACUGUCAACGACCGCAUUUCUUGUAAAACAUGUGCACAUACACAAAAUUAAAAUGGUAC
ensembl:lncRNA